rnacentral:lncRNA from 10 species
GUUGAACUUGUCAUGUGUCUUCUAUUUGGAGAGUGAGCUUUCCCUUCAUAAUUUCUCCGUGAUCUUGUGGUGCUCUGUGAGAUUCUUCUUGUUUAUUUUUGCCCUUGUUCUCAGCCCACAGGUGUUGUCAUCGCUGAGGAAUGUGUUUCCCAAGAAGCAAGUCUGGAUUCAUCUUAUGUACACUCCUGGCCUGUCUCUGAAAUUCGGGGAUCUGCUCAGCAGACCGGAACAACCCAGGAGGCAUCUGGGCUCUGGAAGGAAAUACAAGCCAGCCAGUUCCAGCAGCUUUUUCCCAAAGCCUGGAGCAGGCUCUGCUCUGUAGCUACUAGCAUUUUUACGACAGUAACCUGAGGCCACUCAUCUUAGGUCUGAUUGAUGAGUAGGUCAGAAAUCAUCCCAGCGUGGAACCCUCCUUGACUCACGCUGUCUGGGUGAACACACAGACCCAUUCCACUGUUUCCUGGCCAGCUUGACUUCACUCUUCUUAUUUUUCUUGGGCUAAGAAAAGACAUUCUUUGCUGGAUAUAAAUAUCAUGCAUUUCAGAAAGUUCAUAUGUACAAAUAACAUGGAUUCGGGAUCAUUACAGUUGUUAAUUUUAGUAAAAUAAUUUUUUUCUUUGGCUUGCUUCUUGAAUUCUUUAGUGAUCUUGGACAUACAAACACA